rnacentral:rRNA from 1 species
AUGAAUCCGAAAAUUUCAGAUUUUGGUAUGGCAAGAAUUUUCGCUACAAACCAAAACCAAGCAAACACUACCAGGGUCAUUGGGACAUAUGGUUAUAUGUCGCCUGAAUAUGCGAUGGGAGGUGCUUUUUCUGUAAAAUCAGACACAUAUAGCUUCGGUGUUCUUCUCUUAGAGAUUGUCAGUGGCUUGAAGAUCAAUUCACCUCAGCUCAUAACAAACUUUUCUAGCCUUAUCACUUAUGUCAGCAUGGAGACUGUGGGAAGAUGGAAACGCCAUUGA